GAGUUUGAUCCUGGCUCAGAAUGAAUGCUGGCGGCAUGCCUAACACAUGCAAGUCGAACGAGAUCUUCGGAUCUAGUGGCGCACGGGUGAGUAACGCGUGGGAACCUACCUUUUAGUACGGGACAACGUUUGGAAACGAACGCUAAUACCGUAUACGCCCUCCGGGGGAAAGGUCAGCCGCUAAAAGAGGGGCCCGCGUCUGAUUAGCUUGUUGGUAAGGUAAUGGCUUACCAAGGCUUCGAUCAGUAGCUGGUCUGAGAGGAUGAUCAGCCACACUGGGACUGAGACACGGCCCAGACUCCUACGGGAGGCAGCAGUGGGGAAUAUUGGACAAUGGAGGCAACUCUGAUCCAGCAAUGCCGCGUGUGUGAUGAAGGCCCUAGGGUUGUAAAGCACUUUCAACGGUGAAGAUGAUGACGGUAGCCGUAGAAGAAGCCCCGGCUAACUUCGUGCCAGCAGCCGCGGUAAUACGAAGGGGGCGAGCGUUAUUCGGAAUUAUUGGGCGUAAAGGGCUCGCAGGCUGCUUGAACAGUUAGACGUGAAAUCCCCGGGCUCAACCUGGGAACUGCGUUUAAUACUAGCAAGCUAGAGUAAUAGAGAGGAAAGUGGAACUCCCAGUGUAGAGGUGAAAUUCGUAGAUAUUGGGAAGAACACCAGUGGCGAAAGCGGCUUUCUGGCUAUUUACUGACGCUGAGGAGCGAAAGCGUGGGGAGCAAACAGGAUUAGAUACCCUGGUAGUCCACGCCGUAAACGAUGUGUGCUAGAUGUUGGAGGGAUACCUUUCAGUGUCGCAGCUAACGCACUAAGCACACCGCCUGGGAAGUACGGUCGCAAGAUUAAAACUCCAAGGAAUUGACGGGGGCCCGCACAAG
rnacentral:rRNA from 1 species